AUGGGGGUCUGGCCUCCAGGAACCAGGGAGACCAUUCCCAAAGUCCCGUUCUUUAAUAUUGAGUCCCCAGCCCCUCCUCCCUCAGACCAGCAGUCCAGGCCCCCAGUCCCUCCUCCCUCAGACCAGGAGUCCAGGCCCCCAGUCCCUCCUCCAUCAGACCCAGGAGUCCAGACCCCCCAACCCCCUCCUCCCUCAGACCCAGGAGUCCAGACUCCAGACUCUCCUCCCUCAGACCCAGGAGUCCAGAACCCCCAACCCCCUCCUCCCUCAGACCCAGGAGUCCAGGCCCCCCAACCCCCUCCUCCCUCAGACCCAGAAGUCCUGCCCCCAGCCCUUCCUCCCUCAGACCAGGAGUCCAGACCCCAGCCCCUCCUCCUCAGACCCAGGAGUCCAGGCCCCCCAACCCCCUCCUCCCUCAGACCCAGGAGUCCAGACCCCAGCCCCUCCUCCUCAGACCCAGGAGUCCAGACCCCAGCCCCCUCCUCCCUCAGAACCCAGGAGUCCAGACUCCAGACCCUCCUCCCUCAGACCAGGUUGUCCAGAACCCAGCCCCUCCUCCCUCAGACCAGGAGUCCUGCCCCCAGCCCCUCCUCCCUCAGACCUGGAGUCCAGACCCCAGCCCCUCCUCCCUCAGACCAGGAGUCCUGCCCCCAGCCCCCUCCUCCCUCAGAACCCAGGAGUCCAGACCCCAGCCCCUCCUCCUCAGACCCAGGAGUCCAGGCCCCCAGCGCCUCCCCUCUCAGACCCAGGAGUCCAGACUCCAGACUCUCCUCCCUCAGACCAGGAGUCCAGACUCCAGACUCUCCUCCCUCAGACCCAGGAGUCCUGCCCCCAGCCCCUCCUCCUCAGACCAGGUUGUCCAGAACCCAGCCCCUCCUCCCUCAGACCCAGGAGUCCUGCCCCCAGCCCCUCCUCCCUCAGACCAGGUUGUCCAGAACCCAGCCCCUCCUCCCUCAGACCCAGGAGUCCUGCCCCCAGCCCCUCCUCCCUCAGACCCAGGAAUCCAGACCCCCAGCCCCUCCUCCCUCAGACCCAGGGGCUCUAAUAGCCAAGAGAUGCACCGGGCAAAAGGACUUCUUUCCAGGCCUCAGCAUCUGCUCUGAGCCUGGCUCUGUGCAGGGUGUGGGGUGGGGCUUUACCCUGGAUCCUCCCAGCCAUCCAAAAAAGGAUGGACAUUUAGCCCCAGUUUUCAGAGCAGGAAACUGA
rnacentral:lncRNA from 1 species